CGCUUCCCUGACAGGUGCAGGAGGGCCAUCCAAUAGACUCAUGGGCGCUCCCUGGGAUCGGUGCACCUGUGACCCAGCUGCAAACCCCUGACUCAGCUCAGGCCAGAGGAGGCGAGUCCUGGGAGAAGCUGACUCCAGGUGCAGUGUGCUGGCCUCUCUGUGCCUGGGGGUGGAGGGCCCUCUCUUCUCUCUACGUCACUGGCCUUGCCCUUGGUGUCUGUUUCUUCACCUGGGGAGAACCAGAGGCCAGCAGCUGUGGGAGACACCAUGGGUUUUCAUCUCUAUCUGCUGCUCUAUAGUUCUCUCAGAACCCAAAGUGGAGGGCAGGGACUAAUAGGCCCAGCUCAGGCGUGGGGGGCAGCCCCUAGAGGGUUGCCUCAGGUGCAGGUGGCUGCAGACACACACAAUGUGGCUGGGGUGGCUUAGAUGGGUAGCAUGAGGGGUGGGCCUGGGGUGGCCAUUGCCUGGCUGCCCUGGUCGUCUUGUGCUAGGGAAUGGUUUGGACAGAAUUCUUCAGCUGCAUUGUCCUGUGAGGCGCUGGGCGCUUGUGGCUCCUUGAACACUGGGUGGAAAGUGUAGAACUCUGUGAACCGGGACAGGGACUCAGACCUCAACCAGAUGCUCCUGAAGACACCCCCGGCCCCCAGUCCCAUUAACACCCAGUGGCCGCUGGGGCUUUGUGGUUCAAACGACGUCUUGUGUCCUCUGCUGUGGUCAGUCAGGUGGCCUUGCUUGGGGUCAUCAAAGGACCGAGGCAAGGUCAUCAGAGCCGUUGUCAUCCCUGGCCAUUUCCUGGUGCUACUGCCACCGCAGGCUCCUCCAGGGAGCUUGUCACGUGGAAGAGGUGUGCAGGGGCAAGACAAGAGGCAGUUCAGUGUCUGCUGCAUGUGCUGCGAGGGGUCACUUGUGUCCCCUGUGCUGGCAUCAGAGCCCAGCGUGGAACAGCCGUGCUGGCCUGCUGCGGUCUGUGUCUGCAGGGGUGAGGACCCUUCUUGCUGGCUCGGUUGCGGUAGGGGUGUCGCGGGUCCAGCCGACAGUGUUCUGUUCGUGGCUUCCUGCCUGAGGCGAAGCCAAGCUUCCAGGGCUUGCUGGGGUUCUCCUUAGAGGCCAGAGCCGGCAGUGAUUGGCGGCCGCACCUUCCAGGGCAGCUGUCACCCAGGUGCUGGUUAUGUGCCGCAAGGCCCCGGCGGAGCCACGCCAACACGCCUGCUUGGAACACGCCAGGAAGGUGCCUCCUGGUGGCGGCUGUGGUGCCGACUCAUGUGUACUGUUUAUGUGGCUAGCAGGCUUCCUGACGGAGGCCGACGUUUACGUGCUAUAAAAAGUCCAUUAACGGAGCUGCUCCGGGGGUCUCGGGGACUGAUGCACGCUCGUCAGGUGACGGGAAGGAGCUGAAGACUCCAGGGAGCCCACGUGCGGGGCCCUUCCUGGGGCGGGGGAGGCGCGCUGUGCUGAUGGAGUAGGAAGCCGGGGGAGCGAGAGGAUGACGCCGGGCCAGUGCGUGCCUCCUGAGGCUGGGGGGCGAAGGUUGGGCUCUUUCUGGGUGAGUGUUGGGUGCAUUUUGAAUGCCAAGAACACAGCUGCAAUCCGCUGUGGUGGAACGAGAGUUCUGUUCUUUUUAAAGGUCGGAGUUUCUCAAAUUCCCUUCCUGCCUUUAAAAAUCAGGGUUCAGAAAGCUUCCGCGUUUGCUUUCCCGCUGCGGACUGCACCACGUUGAGAAUCAAGACAGGUUCACGGUUGCCUGAGAUCCAUACAAAGCCCGUGUGAAGGUGGGCUUUGCGCUCAGGCAGGGACCUUAGGCUCAUCCACCAGUGGGCUCCCUCUGCUGCCCUGAGACUGCCAGGUGCCCCGGCCUGGGUGGGCGCCGGGCUUGUUGGAAGCAGUCUCUGCUGCAUGCCGGGGCUGUGGCACAGCUUGCGUGGGGGCUGCGGUUUCUCCUCCAGUGCCUGACCUGAGGCAGCCAUGGCCCAGCCUUCCCUGCUGACCCCUCCCUGGCCUCCUGGACGGUGUCCCUCUUGGGCUCCUUAUGAUGCAGUCCUUGACCUUGGGAGCUCCUGGGGCAGGCGUGAGCCCCUCUUUUCUGGAGCCUUUUUCCCAAUCACUGUUGAGCUUAGGGAAGAUGCACAUGAACUGAGCCCUGUCUCAGCACAGAGUGAGGUGGGGGGAUGGAGGAGGACUUGCUGGAUUACAGGAGACGGAACAGAGCCGCGGGAGGAGCAGCGGCUAAGCAGGCGGGGGGCCUGAGCUUGCCUGGCUCUGCCACUCCCCACUGUGAGCUUGGUGGGUGUGACUCUUCCGAGCCCCCACUCGUUCACCUGUGAAAUGGGGUGAUGGCGUCCGUCUUGAGAGCUUUGUGCAUGUGACAACUGUGGACUGCUGAGCCGGGCACAGAAUGCAUGCGGGCAGGUUUGUGCCACCAGGGUCUGAGUCCUGCUGCACAAGAGUGACCUUGACGUUUACAGCUGCCCAGUGGCUGUCUCAGCCCCCCUUGUCUGUGGAUGUGCCAUCAGCUCCCUGAGUGACGUCCCUGGUCCCAGGCACCGGGCUGAGGCAGGCAGUGGUGAGGCUUGUGUGAUACGUGCUCUCUCAGCAGCCAACCUGCGGGCUGAGUGCUAACUGGUUGCUGUCUACACGUCGAGGAUGCAAUGAUCUCAAGACGACCCCAUUCCAGAUUUGGGGAAUUCGGGGAGAAGGGCUGUGGAGUGCACCUCCUGCCCAGGUUGUCCCGGGAGUCCGUCCAGCCUUCUGAUAGCUAGCAGGCCCCAGGAACUAGCCCGGCCGUGCAGCUCAGCCCGGCCCUGACCCCAGGCCCCGAGCCCCGCGGGUGCCCCGCUUGUCACGCACAGUUCCGUCAGGGCCGGCUCCCCGGGUCCCGGGGCUGCCCUGUGAGCCUCUGAGCCCCGCGCGGAGCACAGCGAGUUAUGCAAUGCUGCUGAGCCAACAUUUACGAGUCGCAGCCAAUUUGCUGGGCCGGAGUUACACUGUGCAGAUGCUCUGCGUCACGGCUCGCUUUUGUCUCGGAGGCCGUAAGCAGAUAGCAUAACCCCGCUUACCAUUAGACGUUUCGCAAAUCAUCUGGGCCCGAGCGUGCUGCAGCCAGACAGUUCAUUUAUGCUGCGAGUGCUAUGAUUUGUAAAGUAAUAAAUUUCCCAUCUCUCUGCCAGCAAUAAAGUACAGCAAGCAGGCGAGGCCAAAGCCCUCCAAAAAUAGGCUGGCUCCCAGCGAGACCUGGAGGAAAGCUCUUUCGGGUUCUGCAUUGCUCUGUUCCUGAGUUCACGGGAUUCUGGGAAAUCAGCGGCAGCCCACUCCGCGAUGGCCGCCGGCGCCAGGACUCAGAAGUCGCCGCAUUCCACCAGGCUGCAGCCAGUCCAUCUCCCUGGCCUUGUUCUCCUGAUCUGAGCUGAACAGCGUGAGACGCGGGGGCUGGGGAGAGGGAGACUUCUUAGACAACACGUCUCAGGAUUCAGGGAGAACCGGAUUGAGCACCUGCGUCCCACGUCAGAGGGCUUGGUUUGAGUUACAUCAGCUGCACGCUUCUGACCCAGGUUCCUGAAGACGUGUCCGUGAAGUAGCAGGCUCACUAAACUUCACCUUGAAGGGGCUGUGUGAUGGGCGGCUGCCAUGCUGGACGGCACAGGUGUGGAGUGUCCUGAUGGGACUCGCUUCUGCUGGCACACGGGACUGCCCAGAUCAGUCACUGCUGGUACCACAGCCUGCGCUGUGCACCGGGCAAGGUGCACCACUAGGGGGCAGCAGGAAUGCCGAGAGAGACCUCAUCUGCAGCGCAGAGCCCGCGGUGGGGGAGAACUGAGCAACGCUGGGGUGCACCCAGGACAGGCAGUGCUUGAAGACUGCAGUGCGUGGAGGUCAUCAGAGCAGACACAGGCGCCAGGCCCAGCUCACCUGCGGACUGCUUCAUGCACCAGCAGUCUCAUGAAGAACAUUCUCCAGUUUGGGGUGUAUUUGCUGCAUCUCUACCAUUUUUCCACAUGUAAUGUGUACUCAACGUGAAUGUGUCACACACACAUACCCCUCAAAUGAUGUCUGGCCACUAGACAAGAGACAAAGUAAUCGAUAGAAGUAGACCAAAGUUUCAUCAGACGCUGGAGUUACUCAUCAGGAAUUGCACGUGACUGUGACAAAUGUGCAGAGGAUCUGCUGAAGAAGGCAGUGCACUAACGCGUGGGGAUUGCAGCAGAGGUGUGGGAACUAUAAAGAAGAACUAGAGGGAAACAUGAGUGUAAAAGGAUGAGAGCCGUGAGAAGUCUACAGCCGCACUCAACAGAAGACUGGACACAGCACAAGAGAGGGUCACUGAACUUAAAAACAUGUCAGUAGGAAUGAUACAGGUUGAAGAAAAAAUGAUAAAGUGCAAAAAUGAAAUUUCUGAGUUGUAUGGGAACUCCUACAUGGUCUAACAUAUAUAUAAGUGGAGAAGAUGUGAGAGAAAGUAGAAGUAUACAAAGAGGUGGUGAACAAAUAUUUUCCAAGAAAAUGAAACACCACAGCUCAGGUCUCUCCACCUCUCAAAUAGAUGUAUAUAUGUGUGUGCAAACACGCACACACACAUAAUUUCAAAUAAGCAUAACUAAAUGGUCAGUAGAGAAGAUGAAAUGCUGAAAAUACUUGUUUAAUGUCAAUAAAACAGGAUAGGAAGAACCUCCCCCCCCCCAAAAAAAAGAAUGAAAUAACAAAAAUCAAAUUCAAUUUUGUUAUAUGUAAAAUUUGGAAAAAAUAUAUAAUUCCAUUAAAUGUAAAUGUAUUAAUUUUCAUAAUUAAAAAGCAGAGGUUGUCAGACUGGAUAUGGAUCAAGACUCAAUUAUAGGGGCUGUGGCGCAGCAGGUUAACACCCUGGCCUGAAGCACCAGUAUCCCAUAUGGGCAUUGGUUUGAGUCCCAGCUGCUCCUCUUCCAAUCCAGCUCUCUGCUAUGGCCUGGGAAAGCAGUAGAAGGUGGCCCAAGUUCUUGGGCCCCUGCACUGGCAUGGGAGACCCAGAGGAAGCUCCUGGCUUCAGAUCGGCACAGCUCUGGCCGUUGUGGCCAUCUAGGGAGUGAACCAGCAAUGGAAGACCCCUCUCUCUCUCUCUCUCUCUGCCUCUCCUCUCUCUGUGUAACUCUGACUCUCAAAUAAAUAAAUACAUCUUUUAAAAAGAGACCCAAUUAUAGGUGGUUUGUGUGAACUACAACUUCAGGACACAAACAGGCUGAAAGAACGGUGCUGGAAAAGAUAGCGUGCAAAUACUAUGUGGAAGGAAACAGGUGAUGCCAUAGUGCUGUAGGAAGUGGUAAGCUUUGAGGUGCCGAAAGGAUAAGGGACUUUAUGUAGUGAUAGUAGAGGGUUUCAUUAAUCAGGAUGACCUACAAAUCCAGUGUAUAUGAUAGCAAAUCUCCAAAAUACAUGAAGUAAAAAUUGACAGAAUUAAAGAAAACCCUAUGUUUCUGCUCAUAGCAUAAGACUAUGCCCUCUUGAUAAUUUUUAGUUGGAAAAAUGAGCAAAUAUAUACCAAUGACCCAGUCUAAUGGACAACAAAACCAAAAUGCAUGUGCUUGUGUAGUGCAUAUGGAACACUCCUCAAAAUACAGCAUGAGGUGGGCCAUGAAUAAUCCCAAUACAUUUCUAAGGUUUAACUUUGUAAAAAAGAUGUUUCUUUGAAAUGCAGAGUGCAGGCUGGCACCACGGCUCAAUAGGCUAAUCCUCCACCUGUGGUGCCGGCACACUGGGUUCUCUAGUCCUGGUCGGGGUACCGGAUUCUGUCCCGGCUGCCCCUCUUCCAGGCCAGCUCUCUGCUAUGGCCCAGGAGUGCAGUGGAGGAUGGCCCAAGUCCUUGGGCCCUGCACUCGCAUGGGAGACCAGGAUAAGCACCUGGCUCCUGGCUUCAGAUCAGCACGAUGCGCCGGCUGCAGCGGACAUUGCGGGGUGAACCAACAGCAAAAGGAAGACCUUUCUCUCUGUCUCUCUCUCUUUCUCACUGUCCACUCUGCCUGUCCAAAAAAAAAAAAAAAAAUGCGGAGUGCAGAGAAGGGGGAGAUAGUGUGAGAGAGAUAUGGAUCUUCCAUUAGCUGGUUCAUUCCCUAAAUGCCUAGAAGAGCCAAGGAUGGGCCAGGCUAAAGCCAGGAGCCGAGAACUCCAUCCAGGUCUCCUUGGAUGGCUGGCAAGAACCCGAAUACUUGAGACGUCAUCUGCUGCCUCCCAGGAGCAUUGGCAGGAAGCCCUCUAACCAAGAACUCCAAUAUGGGAAAUGGGCGUCCCAAGAAGUGGCUUAACCUGCACCCAACACCCACCCCAAAGCAUUUACUUUCUCAGUGUAUUCUCUGAACACAAUGCCAUCAAAUUAGAAAUAAGUAACAAGAUACCUAGAAAAUUCCUCAGACAUUUGCAAACAGUAGCAUAUGAUUAGAUAACCUGUGCAUCAAAGAAAUCCAGGGAAAUUAGAAAGUAUUUGAAAUUUAAUGAUGAAAGAUGUUACAAUUUGGAAGAUGCACAAGAUGCACAAAACUUAAAAGGGAAAUAGAUAGCUUAAAAUGCUUCUGUCAGAGAGAGAAAGUGCAAGAUCGGUGACCUUAGCUUCCACCUCAAAUGGUAAGAGAUGAGCAAAUGAAGCCCAAAUAAGAGUGGAAAAUAUUGAAAAAAGAAAAAGAAAAAAUAGGGCAAGGUUGAAAUAGUUUUUCUUUUUUUAAGAUUAAUAAAAAUUAACAUUGAGAAAAACUGAUCCAGGGAAAAGAUGUGAAUGAUCAGCACUGGACAUGAAGAUGGGGCUAUCGCACAUGGUGCAUACACCUUACAACCAGCAGCUUAGGCUAAUUAAUUCCAUAAUGAGGGCUUCCCAGGUGCACCCAACAGAAGCAGAAAAUACAAGCCCUAGAUUUCUUGAGGAAAUUGAAAGUUAAAUUAUUUCUAGCAAAUUUCUGGGCCCACAUCAUUUCUCCAUUGAGUUCUUUCAAAUCUUUAAGGAAGGGAUAAAAUCAAUUACUGUGCCCACUGUUUUUAGAGAAUAGAGUACUGGGAAUACUUUGGGGAGUCCAGACUCAGCAAAAACCAGGCCAAGGGCAUCACAGAAAGGAAAGUUACAGACCCAAGUGCUUCAUGAGGGUAGAUGUGAGAAUUCUUUUUAAAAACAAGCAAAUGAAAUCCAGUAACAUAGAGAAAUGGAUAAGGUAGCUUUUAUUCCAGGAAUGUAAGAUUAGUAAAUUUUUUUAAAAACUUUUCAGACUAGUUUUAAAUUUACAAAACAAAAAUCGUGAAGUAGUACAAGGAGUUCCCGGGUACCCCCACAGCUUCCCUUGUUAUUGAGGUCUCUAGUAGGGUGUGUAUGUCACAGUGAGCCAUGCCCGGCUGCUUCUAGGUAUUGUAACCCAAACUCCUGCUGUCCCGCCCAGCGUCAGCAGUCAGAUUGCCGCUUGUUUUAGCUCCCACACGUGAGAGGAAACAGGCAGCAUUUGCCUUUGCUUCUCUCUUACUCCACUUAACAUUAUGUCCUCAGUUCCAUCCAUUGCUUCUGCAAAUGAAAAGAUUUCAAUUUUUAAUGACGGAAUAGUAUUCUAUCUAUGUGCACCACAUUUUUUAUGCAUUUAUCUCAUGAUACUUUGAUUGCAUAGUUUGGCUAAUAAACAUGACAGAACGUGUAUCUCUUUGAUACAAUGUGUUCAUGUCUUCCAGAUAUAUACCCAGUAGGGUUGCUGGAUCAUGUGACAGUUCUGCUUCUUGUUUCUAAGGACCUCUCCAUCUCCAUACUGUUUUCCAUACUAAUUUACAUUCCCAGCAAUGGUGUGUGAGAGUUCCUUUUACCCCAUCUUUGUCAGAAUGUAUUACUUUGUGUCUUCUGGAUAACAGCCAU